rnacentral:rRNA from 1 species
GUACACGCUGUGACUAGCAUAUCAAUAAGCGGAGGAAAAGAAACUAACAAGGAUUCCCCUAGUAACGGCGAGUGGAGCGGGAAGAGCUCAAAUUUGAAAUCUUAAAGGGUUUCCCUUUACGAAUUGUAGUUUAAAGAAGUGUUUUCUGUUGAGGUUUUGGUAAAAGUUCUUUGGAAUAGGACAUCAUAGAGGGUGAGAAUCCCGUAUUUGACCUUUACUUUCAACUUUGUGAUACACUUUCAAAGAGUCGGAUUGUUUGGGAAUGCAGUCCAAAAUGGGUGGUAAAUUUCAUCUAAAGCUAAAUAUUGGCGAGAGACCGAUAGCGAACAAGUACCGUGAGGGAAAGAUGAAAAGAACUUUGAAAAGAGAGUUAAACAGUACGUGAAAUUGUCAAAAGGGAAGCGUUUGACACCAGUGUUGUUUUUCUGAAAAUCAAUUAAAGAACUGUUUAUGCUAAGCUGUUUAGACUUUAUCAGCUAAUCUGUUUAGUUUUGAGCUUUUCUUUAAUGCACUUUUCAGUUAACAAGUCAACAUCAAUUUCUUUUGCUGUAAAAAAGCUUGAGGAAGGUGGCUUGAGAUUCGUCUUAAGUGUUUAUAGCCUCUUGCCUAUGCAGUCGGAGAGAUUGAGGUCUGCAGCGUAGAUCCUUCGGGGCUAAAUGCAUUUGUGCUAAGUUAUAGCAUUUUAUAGACAACUUGUUGACUAUGAUUUGUCUUGUAGCUUACUCGCUUAUGUUAUUUUACCUACUCUUAGGAUGUUGAUCUACAGAGCGAGAGU